AAAAUAUUCAAACAGACACUACCCGAAAUUAAAAGACUAAGUGUAUUUUAAGUUAUUAGACUACUUUGUUAUAAUCUGUAGCAAUAGGUUUUAAAAAUUAUACCUUAGAGGUGAAAGGCCUUCAAUUUUAAUGAUAACUGGACGAAUGUUAAAUAUAUUAAGUUUAAAAUAAACUUACAAAGUGAUAAGAUUUUGUAAGAAAUAAUUUUUUGUAUUUCAAUUACUGCCAAUAACUAACAAUUACCGGCGGAUCUGUAUAGAUUAAACACUAUUACAUUAUAGCAAUUAUUCAACAGCAUUUUAUUUAACUUAACUAUCACAUAGUAAAAUUAAUAAUGUAUAAAUAAGUAUAUAUAAUAUAAAUUUAGAUUAAGGAAUUCGGCAAUUUAAGUGUACGACUGUUUAACAAAAACAUAGUCGGUAGCUAUUAAAUUAUCGGUGAUACCUGCCCAGUGAUAUUUUAACGGCCGCAGUACUAUGACUGUGCAAAGGUAGCAUAAUCAUUUGGCUUUUAAUUGAAGUCUAGUAUGAAAGGAUAAACGUAGACAAGCUGUCUCAAUAAUAAAUUUAUCUAAAUUAUUUAUAAGGUGAAAAUACCUUAAAUAUGAAAAAAAGACGAGAAGACCCUUAGAAUUUUAAGAAGACCCAUGUCCACACUUGGUAUGAUUUUUGUUGGGGCAACAUUUUUUCAAAUAAAUAAAAACUAAUCCUAAUAUACAUAACGAAUAAGUUUAAUAAAGUAUAAAUUACCUAAGGGAUAACAGCAUAAUUUUAAGUAAAGAUUGUGACCUCGAUGUUGGACUAGGAACUAUUAAGGCUAGUCGUUUUAAUAUAAUAGGUUCUGUUCGAACUUUAAUUCCUA
rnacentral:rRNA from 1 species